GUCAAAUGAGUUCCAAAAUCGCAACACCGAGGAUGACAGAGAAGCUGCUAUUACCUCUGCUGCACCAUUAAAAUACAAGUAAAGGACGUGUUUGCAGAAGAGGACAGCUGAUACUAUCUUACUUGCACUCCUUCUUGUGUCGGAGCAUAAAUUUGGGAUCUAGGUUCCCUGGCUUUGACAAAAAUUUAUGCAAUAUAAUUUCUUUUUAUGAGUUAUAGGACUGCGCGUGUUUGGACUUUUGGAGUACUUACUAGACAAAAAAACUGAGAGAAGGGUUCCAAACGACAAGGGAAGUGCUUUCUUUGAGCUUGAAAUAUGGUGAAAGAGAUCAUGCGUUGCAUUUGCAUGAAUGAGACAUGAGAGUGAUAGUGUGAGACAAAGGGAAAAAGCCUCAGUUCUGAAGUACGGGCACGACCAAUAAAUAAUGAAACACUGGCGUAAUCUCCAAGCUUCAAAUGCCAAGAGUAAUCGCAGAGUGCUAUUAAUUUCUCCACCAACAGUUUCUGUUGGCCAUCUCUUGUUUUAUUAUCUACUACUACAAAGAGAAACGAUUGUGUUUGCUUACUAUGUGUACGGGAAAUAAUGUCAUGCAUAAAAGACUAAGGAAUGCAAGUGGCGUAAGAAUAGGAUAUUUUUUAUAUGGCAUUUUCCGUACUCGGGUUGCUGCAAUGCUGCUAAUUUGAUGGGUACCGACAGUACGAGAAUUAAUGCCUAGAGUGGGGUUAAAAUGUCAACUUAGUUACAAGGGAUUGAAGAGGCUAUUAUAUAUAGUUUGAAGGCCACUUCUCUGCCUAGAAUAUUAACCCAUCUUCUUUGAUUUAUUAAGAAAAACUGUAUUUGUAUAUAAAGUUUGUGUAAAGAUUUAUUACAAUAAAGAGAGAAAAAACAAGAAUGUGAAAUAAGACAGUGUGAUAAAAAAAAUAGAGAAAAAAUAAUGUUGAAAAAAUCACGAAUUAAUAUAACUCCAUUAUUUAUGUU